UUAGGCGGUCUCUUGCUAAUUUUUCACGCUUACACGCUACUUUUUUUUUACUUUAUCAUUUUCUCUUUUAAUCCCCUUUAUAGCUUUUGGGCUUUACCCCAACCCGUUUUUUAUACUCCCUCCUCAUUUAAAACCCUAGAUUCCUUUCAGCCUCCUUCCUUCUUAUCCCUUCCCUGAUUUUCUCUCUCUAUUUUGUUUCAAUUCAUCCAACCACCUCUAACCUUUGCACUUCCAUUAAUCUCACUCACAGUCCUUCACCUAUACUCUCUCCUUCUCGAUCUUAGCCCCGCCAACAUAACUUCACCCUAUAUAUCCCUCAUCAUCGCUUGUCACGCGGCGGUGCUUCAGCAAUCAACUCGUCAUUCUCCUGCUCGAACACUCGACACUCUCUCUUUGGGUUCAAAGCUUAUACUCAAAUGGAUCAGUUCAUAUUCGAAACUAAAGAAGAAGAUCUACACAAAUGAGUUGUUGAAGUUCGGGAUGAAGAAGCAUUGUAUAGGAUUAAUCAUUUUUAUAUAUGUAAUUAUGGAUUUUGUAUAAUUUUGUACUAUAUAAUCUAUACCAUGUAUAAAUUAAUUAAAUGUAUAAAAAUCAAUUAGUUAUUUUGAUGAAAUGUAAUUUUAAUUUACGAUUUAAAUAUC